AGCUGGAUGGCUCCAUUGGUAAAGCAUGAGACUUAAUUUCAGGAUUGCUGGUUCGAGCCCUGCACUGGGCUA